GACCACGAUGGGAAUCGAACCUACGACCUUUGGGCUAGCAUUCCAAAGGUCGUAGGUUCGAUUCCCACCGUGGUCA